GUUGACCUCGGAUCAGGUAGGAAUACCCGCUGAACUUAAGCAUAUCAAUAAGCGGAGGAAAAGAAACCAACAGGGAUUGCCCCAGUAACGGCGAGUGAAGCGGCAACAGCUCAAAUUUGAAAUCUGGCCCCAGGCCCGAGUUGUAAUUUGCAGAGGAUGCCUUUGGCGCGGUGCCUUCCGAGUUCCCUGGAACGGGACGCCAUAGAGGGUGAGAGCCCCGUACGGUUGGACACCAAGCCUUUGUAAAGCUCCUUCGACGAGUCGAGUAGUUUGGGAAUGCUGCUCAAAAUGGGAGGUAUAUUUCUUCUAAAGCUAAAUAUUGGCCAGAGACCGAUAGCGCACAAGUAGAGUGAUCGAAAGAUGAAAAGCACUUUGAAAAGAGGGUUAAACAGCACGUGAAAUUGUUGAAAGGGAAGCGCUUGUGACCAGACUUGCGCCCGGUGAAUCACCCAGCUCUCGCGGCUGGGGCACUUUGCCGGCACAGGCCAGCAUCAGCUUGCCGUCGAGGACAAAAGCUUCGGGAACGUAGCUCUCUUCGGGGAGUGUUAUAGCCCGUUGCAUAAUACCCUUCGGCGGGCUGAGGUACGCGCUCCGCAAGGAUGCUGGCGUAAUGGUCAUCAGCGAC
rnacentral:rRNA from 1 species